rnacentral:lncRNA from 1 species
UGGUGUGGCCAACACUACAAACGCUCCUGUGCUCGACAGUGAUGGCAACGAGCUCCGCACAGGCACCCCAUACUUCGUUGUGUCGUCGAUAUGGGGUGCUGGUGGUGGGGGGCUUGCCCUAGGCAUGCCUAGAGGAAAGCCAUGCCCGGAAGUCGUUGCUCAAAGAGGAUCCGGUGACGAUGGUAUUCCGGUGAUAUUUUCUAAUUCGGACUCCAACGAUGGCGUUGUUCGCCUAUCCUCUGACAUAAACAUAGAGUUCAUUCCCCUCAGACCCAGAUUUUGCCAAACAACAACGGUGUGGAAGGUCGAUGAUUACGACCACUCAGCCGGAAAAUGGUGGGUGAUAACCGAUGGGGUUAAAGGGAACCCAGGUGCCAACACUUUGACCAGUUGGUUUAGAAUAGAGAAGGCGGGUGAUCUUGAUUACCCAUUUAAGUACUGCCCCGCUGUAUGUGGAACAUGCCCAGCCUUAUGCAACAAAAUUACGAGAGACUCAGAUGGAGAAAUGAUACGUUUGGCUCUCUCCGCUGGCCAUGGAUGGCCAUUUUUCUUUAAGAAAUUUCAAACAUCAGCCAUGGAGAUUGAACAAGUUGUUCAUAAUUAGAUUGAAAGCAAUCAUUAUGCAUGAACUAGUAGUUACUAUACAAUAUUAGCUUCAAGUAAAUAAUGCUGGGAGAACUGAUUGUUAAGAUUGCCUUGUUUGAAGCAGCAGCAUGUAUAUAUAUAUGCUUGCUUACAAGGUUUGUCUCUCAGAGUCCUUCUCUUUGUACUCUUUUCAGCUUAAUAUAUAAACUGUCUACUUAUUUACUUCUUUUAUUGCCAUUGAUUCUAGUAGUAUUAGACUCAUUAACUUGGAUACAUUGUCUUGUAAGAGAUAGCUUAUCUCUUAACAACUGUUUGGGUCAACAAAAUUAAUGUAUAUAUGAAAACGAAUAUUGAAUUUGGAUGUCCAAUCAAUUUUUUUAAUUAAUUAAUUAAAAAGAAUUGUUUUAAUUCAAAAAAUCUAAAAGAAUUUGAUAAAAAAUGUGGAAGGGCACACUUGUAUGAUGAAUAGUAGUGAUAAUAAUGAUAGAAGUCGUUUUCCUAGCACAAGUAUGGGAUUCGUCCAUUUGGUUUUAUAUUUAUCCACUUGCCUGAGUGUUUAAGAGUUAAAAAGGACAAAACUAUUAAGUAGAAAACACCAAACGAAUUGGAAGGCUUUUGUCUUCUUCAAUUAGUAUGACCUAUAUUUCUUAUUAAACUUCGUAUUUUACAUUCAAUAUCAUCAUCGCAAUCAUUUUAAUUUAUUUUCAUGAAUAAACUUUUAUGUCCCAUUUUAAUUGAAUCAUUAAAAAUUAUUAAUUGAAUUUUUUUUAAGUCAAGUGAUACUAAUUUGAUUUUUUUAAAAAAGUUGUUUGAAUUAAUUUGAUUUCGUGUCAUAAUUGACAUAAAUGGCCAUUGUGAAUGGCAACAUCAAUAGUUAUUGAGUACAGCGGCUAAAAUUUUCAGUUAAAAAAAAAAGAAUGAAAGGAAAACAAAAAGAAAAACGUGGAAAGAAAGAAAGAAAGAAAGAAUAAUAAUAAUAAUAAUAAUAAUAAAUAAAAUAGAAUUGUGGGGGCGAUGCUUUUGAACAAAUCUUGAUUUAAACUAUAUAAAGAAAAUAUGUGUUAUAUAUAUAAUUAAUUAUGUACUUAUACUUAAUAUAUUAUAUAUCUAAUGUCAUAUUUUCAUAUUCUCAGGAAGUGGUGACAUACAAAUACUUGAUUCGAUUUAUUUCUUUAGCUCCCCGUGAAUUGUAUGUUUGUAACAUUAGGGAUAGAAUUUCUUCAAUUAUCCAAUUGACUGGACGUAUUGUGUCGAUUUUUUUUUAGUAAUAUACCUAGAAAUACCCGUUGAUUCUUUAUAAACGCUGUUUCGAACACAACUGGUACACUCUAAAAUAAUUUACUUGAACAUCAUUACUCUUAGCCAUGAACCUCCUUUGAGUUUUUAAUUCACCCAACUUUUUUAUUUUCCGAUCAAAAGCAAAGAAGAAAGGAAUGAAAAGAAAAGAAAGAAAUCAAAGUUGCUAACUCAAAACCAAAUCCUGAAAAUUUUCAUUUCAAUGAAUAUAGUAAGUAAAUAUAGAUUUAUAGUAAUAGCAAAUAAUAAGAAUUAAGUAAUAUAACGAUUUUUAAUUCUAUUUAGAAUCAAUUAAAAUAUUCAAAUAAAUAUUCAAUUAAAAUAAAUUAAACUGUAUAAAUUUUAUAAUUUUAAAUUAUUAUUUUUGUAUUAAUUUAAAAACAAAAUAAAUAUUAUAUACAAUGAUUUAGUUACAGCGUGUCAGCUUGAAGUCUAAGACUUUAUAACAUAUAAAUUUAAUAGAUAAUUAAUAACUAAAAAAUUAAAUAGCAAAAGCAUAAUUGCGCCACUUCUCACCAUUUUAAUGUAUGCAACUUAUUAUAUAUUUAUAUAUAUUAUCAUUUUAUUUUAAAUAAUUUAAUUUUAUAAAUUUAGGGAUAAAUCUCAAAAUUAUACAUGAACUUUAAUUUAAUAUGCAAUUGUAUAUAUAAACUUUAAUUUGGUACAAUUAUACACGUGAUACUUUAAUUGUGGUUUAAAUACUCACUUGAAACUUUAGUUUUGAUUUAAUAAUGCAUAUUUAAAUAAAUAAAUACAUCAAUUUUUUUAUAUUGGGUAAAUAUAAUUAUUUAUGUAUGCAAUAUAUAACAUAAAAUGAUGUUAUAUCAAUAAUUGUGUUAAUAAUUUUCAAGAAUUGGAUCAAAUCAAAAUUUCAUGUAUAAAAUUGAACAAAAUCAAAGUUAAUGUAUACAAUUGCACAUUAAACCAUAAUUCAUGUAUAUUUUUUUGUAUAUAUCCCAUAAAUUUAUUUCAUUAACUUUUUACCUAUAUCAUAUAUAGAGUUGUUCGUGAACCGAGCCAAGGAAUGCCUGCUCGAAAAAAUGAGAGGGUUUGGCAAAAAAAUAUAUGCCUAAAAAAUGGGCUUGGAUAAAAAGACAAGGCCCGUUUAGAAAAUGAACCGGCAUUGAGUAGGGUUUUUUUGUCCGGGCUCAGCCUAACCCGAAUUUUCAAUUAAAAAAAACCUUGUUGUUUUUGCUGCUAUUUUUCCAUAUCUUGGUGUUGUUUUCUCACUUUUUGCCGCUAUUUUACUACCAUUUCACUAUUAUGUUACUACUAUUUUUUUUAAUGUUUGGAUAUAGUAUAAUAAUUGUUUUAUUGUUAAUUUUAUCACUAUUUUAGAGACAUUUGUUUGUUAUGUUGUACUUAUUUUAGUUUUUAUUUAAGUAUAAAAAAAUUUAAAAUUUAUUUUCAAUUUAUUGAUAAACAUGUAAUUUAAUAUUUUCAGUGUAUUUAUUGUAUUAUAUUUGUUAAAUUUAUAUAAAAUUAAAAUUAAAAAAAUAUGGACCGAGAUGGGAGUUUAACAAAAAUUUAGGCCCAUUUUUCAAGUCGGGCCGAUCUCAAACCUAACAAUCGGACUUAAAAUUUUGUUAGAGCUCGGCCCAUCCCAUGAACAACUCUAAUUAUAUAUAUAUGUCAUUCUCUAAUAAUAAUAAUAAUAAUAAUAAUAAUAAGUGGAUAACAUAAAACUAGUAGUAAAGAGUAAGAAGACAAAGAAGAAUUAAGUGGAUAACAUAAAACGUGCGAAAACAUUUAUCUUCAAUUCUGACACAUAAAGCUAGUAUUUUUGGGUAAAGUAUAGAAAUGGUGAUUAAAUUAUUGUUGAUGUUCUAUUUUAAUUUUUAAUUUUUCUAUUUUAGUUAUUAAAUUAUUUGAAAUUAAAUUUUUUGGUUAUCAAAGGUUAACAGUAGUUUGAAAUUUAACAGAAAUAUUGAUGUGAACUUUUCUUAUUGAUUUAAUAAUAAAUUUAGCCUUCUAAUAUUUAUAUAUUCUAUUAAUUUGAUACUAAAUAUAAAAAUUUAACAAAUUUAACCUUCAAUAUUUACAAAUUUUGUUAUUUUAAUUCAAAUUCUAAAAAAAAUUUAAUAAAUUUAACCCUCAACAUUAAAAAAUUUGAUAAAUUUCAAUUUUUAAAAUUUUGUAAAUUCCUAAAAUAUAAAGCAUCAUUCUCCACCUCAUAGGAUUCCAUGUAAAUGGAUUUUCUUGAAUUCUUUACCAAGUUGUCUUGAGUUUAAUUUCUUCUUAUUUAGUUUGUGGAAUAAAUGGCAUAUAGUUAGAUGUCACUGCAGCUGACAAUGAAAGGUUUGACAAAGUUGAUAAAUUCAGAGCUUUUGAUGCUGAGCUUCAAAUCAGUCUUGCCUCCACUCACCCAAGAAAUCAACUUUACAAUUUUUAUUAAGUCUUAACUAGAUUAAUAUGAGUAUUGUUAUCAAUAUAGGAGAAAGUGAAUUUUAGUGCGUUGAAACACAUUAUCUUCUUAUUGAUGAAUUGAGGAGGGGCUAUGAAUAGUUUUAAAUAUUAUAUUAAAAAAGCAGAGAUAAUUGAAACCUACAAUAAUAUUGUUCAAAAAAAUUACCUAAAAACACGAAAUCUUACUCCCUGAAUUUUCUAGAAACACAAAUAUUUCUCCCUGCCUUUGAUGGUGUAUACAUGCAUGGCCAUGUGUGAGCUCCUGCAUUUUAACUAAUCAACACAGAUAAUACCCUCAAUGAGACAUUAAAAUUAACUUUUAUUUUUGUUUUUUCAUAAAUUUUAUAAUUUUGUAUUUCAAUGAAAAAAUCUAAAUCUAAGUUGAUCCGAGUCCAAAAAAAAAUCUGAAGCUGUAAAAAGUUUGAUCUGAGGCUGCUCAUUUGCCACCUCUAAUAACCAUUUGAUAGAGGUUUAAUAUAAAGGAAUUUAGAUUUUAGGAAUUUAUAAAAUUUUUAAAAUUAAUUUUUUAUUUGUAAAUACUAAGGGAUAAAUCUAUUGAAGUUUUUAAAAUUUGAACUGAAAUGUCAAAAUUUGUAAACAUUGAAGGCUAAAUUUGUUUAUUUUUUCUAUUUAAGACCAAUCUGAUAGAAUGUGUACACAUUAGAAGACUAAAUUUAUUAUUAGACCAAUAAAAAAAUGCCCAACUUAACGCUUUCUCAAAUUUCAAACCGAUGUUAAUAUUCAAUGACCAAAAUUUUUUAUUUCAAAUAGUUUAGUGACCAGAAUAGAAAAAAAAUUAAAAGUUUGAUGACCAAAAUAGAACGCGGAUAAUAAUUUAAUGAUAUUUUUAUACUUUAUCUGUUUUUUAUGAUUAUUUAUACAUAUCAAGUGGAGCUAAUUUAGGGAAAAGAAUCAAUGGUUAAGGUUGUUGUUGAUACUUAAUGAUCAGGGUCCAAAUUUUGCUAAUGUAAUUUUCCUUAUCAUAAUUUGUAUCUUAAUUUUGUUACCAAAAAAAUAUUAGUAAUAAAUAAUAUAUGCUCGAGAAAUGUACGUAUGAUUGAUUUAAACAAUACAUGUUGGAGUAAUUUACAUAUGGAUUUAAAAUAAAUUUUAAAAAUAAAAUAAAAUUUUAAAAAUCCAAAAGUAUUUUUUCUUUUAAAAAAAUUUAAAAAUAAUUUUUAAAUUAUUUACAUGAUUGAUUUAAAGGAUUUCUUUCUAUUAAUUAUUUUUAUAUUAAAUUUAUUUUCCUUUAUGUAUAACAUUUAAAGGGUUUGUAUAUAUGCUAACUCGCGAGUCAAUUAAAAUUUGUAUUAUAUUCAUUGAAUUUUUUUAAAAUAUAUAUUUUAUUAAUUUAUUUAUUUAUUUGAGACCCAUGAUAAACUUGUAUUUAAAGUUAUUGGUGCACACUAUAAAUUCAUAUAUUGAAAAUGAUAGGUGCUAAAAGUAACAUGUUUUAGUCUCAUUCUUAAUGUGUUUUUGGAUGAUUAUUCGAUAUAAAAUGGUUAAUUUUAUGCUACUAAACUUUUCAAUUUACGUUCUACACUUAAUAGAGCAUUUAGGAGCAAAAGAAGCGAAAAACGAGCGAAAAUAAAAAAAAUAGGAGCAAGUCUCAAAAGCCACACAGGCUGAGCCAUUCCACACGGGUUGGACACAUAACCGAGUGAGCCACACGACCAUGUGCUAGACUGUGUGGAAAUCGCAAAUUACACUCCAAACGGCGUGAAAACACGUUAAUUUUAAGGUUUUUUAAGCAUUUUAAUACCUAUACAUGACAAAGAUAAGAAGAGGGGAGAGAGUCGUCAGAAAAUAUUAAAGAAAACAACUUAAAAAACACCAUUGAAGCUAACUUUGAAGCAAAUUUUCAUCAAGAUUGAAGAUCUCAUUUUGAUUUUUUUGAAGUUUAUUAUGAGUUUCUUUAUUUAUUGUAGUUAUACUGUCUUUAGGAUGUUUUUAUUUGCUAUCAUGAACGAAUUUUCUAAAUACCUAGGGAGAUGAAUCCUAUCAUGAAUUAUGUUAUUUGAUUUCUAUUUUUACGUAAUAAAGACUUAGAUCUUAUUCUCAAUUAUGUGUGCUUAAUUCUUGGUUUAAUAUUUCUAGACUAUUAAUCAAUGUUUGAUGUGCUUAAAUCAGAGGAGGAAUAAACCCUAUUUAAGAGUAGAUCUAGCGUAAAUGAGUGGAGUUGCAUGCAAUCCUAGAAAUAGGACAACAUAAAUCUACCGUAAUAGAUCCAAAUCUAAUAGGGGAAUCUAUAGAUCGAGUUAAUACGAUGAUAGAGGUUUUAAUUAGAAAUAAAUUUCAGUUAAUUAACCUAGAGUCAGUUACUCUUAGUCUUGAAGAGAUAUAUUAGCAUAAUUUAGGGAUUUUUACAGAUCAAUAUUCUAAGUGACGAAGUUGUGUAAUAUAGAUUGAUAAUGACAUAUGAAGUCUAGGUAGAUUCUUUCCUAGGUAUUGUCUCGCUCUUGGUUAUUAUUUGAUUAUUUUCUUGAUUUGUGCUUUGUUGUGUUAUUUAGUUAACUAAUUUAGUUAAUUUUAGUUCCAACCAAUCACUCCAAUUUAUCAGUUAAAUAAUAGAAAAGACGGUAAUUACUGGUACUUUUAGUCUUUGUGAAAACGAUAUCUUUGCUCACUAUAACUAUACUAUUAAUUGAUGUGCACUUGUCUGAGUUAGAUUUUUAGUUGGUUUACGACUGCAAUCAAAAAACUCAUUAAGUUAGCACAAACUAAGUUAAUUAUUCGUUGGUUGCUUUAUUUUUUUUCCUGAAGUUUCGAUUUCAUCUUUCAUUAUGUACAACAAUUUUGGUAUAAAAAUAUCAAAUUCUCGACACUUAAUAUAUACCUUUGAAAUAUAAACACAUGCAUCAAUUUUUUUAGGUUCCUCACAACUUACUUGUCCAAAAUUCUUGUAUCUUUCAGUUCUCCUGAUUGAAUCAAAAUUUGACUUUGUAAUUAUUUUUUAAGGACCUCAAACUAUCAAUUUAUAGUAUAAAUUUUCAAUAGCUUUCAUUCUUUACAAAUUGGUCCCUAAUUAAUCAACAAUGGUAUUAAAGCUUAAGCUUAGGGUCCCGUUGUUUCACUGAAAAUGGCUUUCGAAAAAUAAUUUCUAGAAAAUGACUUACUUUCCUAGAAAAGUUAAUAUUUUCUGAUGUUUGGAUGAAUCAGUGUAAAAUAUUUUAUAUUGUUUGACAAAUUUCUUAAAAAUAUUUCAUAAAAGCUGUUUUCAAUGAAACAAACAUGCAUUUGAGAUUUUCUUAUCUUUUCAUUGUUUAAUUAAGUUUAUCUUAUAUCUAUAAAUUUAUAUUUUACAUUUUUUUGCAUAUAAUAAAAAUAUAUAUUUUUUAAUUCAGGUUCACUACCAUGUCACUUUUUAGUUACAUGACUACCAAGUGAGUAUUUUUUUUAUUUAAAAAUGUGACAUCAACAAAAUUGACAAAAAAAAAAUUUAGCAAUGUCAACAAUUGGACUUGAUUUUCAAAUCUGAAAAGUAGAGGGACUAAAUUCUUGAAAAUAAAAGUAUAGAGACUAAAUUGAAAAUUUGUGAAGAAUACAUAGACUUAUCACAUUUUUUAACUUUUAUACUACAAAAUAUUUAUCAUUAAUAUAUUUAUAAUUAUAAUAAAUAUUUAUUAUUAAAAUAUUAAUAUUAAAUAUUUUCAAUAAGAAGAAUAUUAUUUAAAAUUAUUUUUUUUAAUUUUUUAUUAAAAUAAAAUUGAAAUAUUAAAUAAUUUAUUAAAAUAAUUAAUUUUAUUAAUAAUUAAUUUUAUGACUAAAUAUAAAUAAUUAAAUAUGUGUGUUUAAUAAUAUUGAAAUAUAUAAUAUUUUAUAUUAAUAUUUUAAAUAUUUUUAAAAAUAAAAAUAAAAUUUAUUUUCAAUAUAAUAAUAUUAAUAUUGAUUUAAAUGAAUUUUUAUAUAAAAAUAAAAUUACCUAUAGAUGAGCUCUUUUCCAGAAAAUGACUUACACUUUUCAAAAGGAUAAGUCAUUUUAUAGGAAAAAGAGUUCAAUUUUACAUUGACCUGUAAGUCAUUUUCCGAUGACCAAAAUGUUUUCUGUAAAAUAAACAUAAGAAAAUGAAGAAAAUAUUUUCCGUAAAACCUUUUACAUGUAAACAAACGGACCCUUAAUUCAAGCUUGUUCUAACAUAACCCACUUCACUAUUAGCAUGACUCUUCCUUAUACUAUGUUUAACCAUUAACCCUUCUCAUGAUUUCUAACAAAAAUUCUCUAAGUUCUCUUUAAUGGAAACUUCUAUUAGCUUCAACAAUAAGAAAUUCUAACCAUUGGGUUGGUUGUAUCAAGUUUCAUAGUUUAAAAAACUAUAAAAAAAUUAUUUAGAAAACAAUUUGUUUACCUUUGAUGGCCUUGAUGGAGAACAACUUGGUUUCUUCUUCUACUUAGUUUAAAGAAUGCAUGAAGAAGAAGAAGAUUUCCCCUCUCCCUCUAUCUUAAAUAUAUAUAUAAAUAACCUAUUAAUCAAGGUAAUUAACUCACUAAUUAAUCUUAAUUAGUUAUGAUCUAAUGGCCAUAAACUUACCAUAAGAAAAUUAGUGGAAAUGUGUGGCAUUGAUAAUGGUUUGCCAAUAAUCAAACUUCGGGCAUGGUAAUAUUGCAAUCAGGUCCUUGGUUUAAUUACACUUUAAGUACUUGCUAAAUUCUCUAAUCAAUUCCCACUAGUUGGAUCACUUGAACAAUUGGGUCCAUGUAUUAUAGUUACAACUUAUCUAAUUUAAUCAAUUAAUGAUUUGACUUUAUAAUUUCAUGUGCAACACACAAACUCCUCCGGUAAAUUCUCAAGCUAGCUUUAUUUAAAAAUUUGGCCUCAAAACCAGCUUUCCAAAUGUUCAUGAAAAUUGAGUUGUUACAUUAUGGUAUUUGUUUUGUUCAGCUUAUUUGUCAAGCUCUAUUCCUUUGAACUUAUGUUCGUUGACUUUGGUGUUGCUUAAAUGAAAAUGUGGUGAACAAUAUUAUGGAUAGGAGGAGUGUAUGAUUGAGUAUGUGUAACACCCCUAACCCACAUCCUUCGCCAAAUUAAAGUGACAGAGUGUUAUUAUUCAAAACAGAACAUUCCAUGACAACACAUAAACAAUUAUGCAAAUUAUCACAAUCAUUAAUUAACCAUAUUAAAAUAUAACAUAAGUAUCCAUACGACCUUUAAAUCGAGCUUAUAUGGCCUUAAAAAUAGCUUGGGAUCAAUCUAGGAUCAAUUUGGAACAUAACAUAAAUUUUAAGAAAAAUCUAAAAAUUUUGGGAAACAUGGGUCACACAACCGUAUGUCCAGGCCGUGUGACAUAGCCCAGACCUUGUGGGAAUUCAAAAUCAGGACACUCAAUCAUGUCCUAGCCCGUAUGUCUACCUGUGUGAAUAUUUGAAAUAGGGUCCCACAGUCGUGUCGCGGCCAUGUGCUAAACCGUGUAUAUAUUCAAAUUAUGAACACAUGGCCGUGUCGCAAGCCAUGUGCUAGACCGUGCUCAAAACUAUUUUGAGACACACAGCUGUGCCUUAGGCUGUGUGAAAUUUUCACUUUAGACAACGACACACAGCCGUGUGCCAGACCAUGUACACCAAAAUGUACCUUAAAAAUCAAAUUUACCAAAACAUGUUUACUUAGGCAUCAAGCAACCUAAUUACCAUCAAUCAAACUCAUUCAAAACACAAUUAAACAGGUUCAAAACAUCCAUCCUAAGUGCCUAGCCAUUGUGCCCUCAUUGACAUCAUAAUUCAAUAAUCAAAUCAAUCACAUUUAAACCAAGAUUUAAACAUUCAAAUUAUAAAAUCAUCAUUAACCAUUCAUACCAAAACACUGAUCAUUUCAAGUCAUAAACACCUAGCAAUAUUCACAUACUUUAUAAAGCUUAACUACCAAUACCAAAUAAGAUCCAUACACACAUACAUACCAAACAAAACACAUAUUCACAAGUAUCAUUCAAGAUUUACAACUUUACAUGUAAUUAACAUAAUUUCAAGUCAAUUAUUACAUGUCAUACAACCCAAAACAAACACUAAACAAACUACCAAUAGUUUCUCGAAUAGUGUGAUUCUUGAAAUCAAAUUGAUCACCCGAAGCGUCAAAAAUAAAUCUACAAGAAAGCAUUGGAAGAGACACAAGAGUAAGCUUACUUAAGCUUAGUAAUUUCCAUGGAUUUAAACAAUCAACUUACCGGAUAAACUUAUCUAAUAUAGAGUAUAGAAAAGUCAUAAAUCAUAAUCAUGUCAUCCAUAAUCAGAUCACGAGUGAGUCUUAAACUUAAAUAUGAAUGAAUUAAUUCAAUCAAUUACAUUAUAUCACUAAAUUAUACCCGAUGAACGUUGCAAUGGAUUUGGAUACACAGUUAACCAACCAAACACUCCAAAUCACUCAAAUGAGCUAGCCAUCUGAAAGUACACAUGGGCACCAAGUGCCAAGCCCAUAGGCUAACAUCCCUCCGAAACACACCUUGUCACCAAGUGCCAAGCCCGUAAGCUUUACAUCUGCCCCAGAAACACACCUGAAGCACUGCAAUAUAACGUAAUAGUUCGCAACAAAUGUUGAACUUCAAUAUAUUCAAUAAACAUGAAUAAGAUCAGAAUCAUCAUCUCCACAUCCACCAAUCUCGUAAAGCGCACGAUAUAACUUAUUGACAUGCCAAUUGUAUCCUAUCAUACAUUCAUCGGCUCACAUAUUUGUCAUUUAACAACAUUUAAUACAAUUUCUUUCCCAAAUCAUUUCACUUACCACAAUUCAAUACUUCCAUGUCAUUUAAUAAUUUCAAUCCACAAGUAAUUAAAUAUUUAAAUUAUACUAAAAUUAAACUGUACAAACUCACUAGGGCCAAAUUGCAGAAACAACAAAAGUUCAGGGACUAAUCAACAACCUUCCCUUUUUCCACAAUUAUCAACUUGAUCUUGAUCUAUAAUAUAAUUUAUUUCAAUUAUUAGCCUCAAUUUUCAUAUUCUAAUCAUUUCAAAACAUAUGAUCUCUUAUUUAUAAAUUUACACAUUUAUCCCAAAUUUUUACAUAUUAUACAAUUUAAUCCCUAUGACCAAAUCAAGCUUAGUUCUACAAUUAAAUUCUCAAUCCAUAGAACUAAAUUUUAACCACAUCCAAAACAAUCCAUAUAUGCUAAAAUUUUCAAGAGUAACAUGUCUAUUUCAGUUAAAUCACUAAACAUCAAAUUUUGUAAAAAUCACUUACAAACUCAAUACAUAUGGUCACCAAGCUUCAACCCAAACUAUUUACUACUACAAAUCUUCGAAAAUUUCAAUACAUAAUUUCUAUACUUUGAUAACUUCACAAAUAAACUCCAAAACUAGCUAAAUUCCAUUAUCAAUAGCUCAAAACUUAAAAUUUGAUGAUGAAUAAACCAAGAAAAUACUUACAUGCAUUAAAAACUAACAAAAACCAAGAUCCAAGCCUUAGAACAAUGGUGUUUCGGCCAAACCUAAGAAAAAUAAAGAAGAUGACCACUACCCCACUUUUGUUUUACUUUCCUUUUAUUAUUAUAAUAAUCUUUAUUUAUGAAAUUAUAACAUUAUAAAACACCAAUUUAAUUUUUUUUCUCUCUUUACCGCCCAUAUUAACUAACUAUGGGCUAAUGGCAACAUAACCUCCCUUAGUUUACUAAUUUAAGCUAUUAUAUUAAAAUAAAUCUAUAAUAAGCAACUUUUCCACCUAUUACAUAUUAAUCUUUUUUCUUUAAUCAAUUCACUAUACGUUAAAUUUUCUAAACCAAAACUUAAUACGACACUGAUGACUUUGUAAAUAUUAAAUAAUUAAUAAUUCUAGACUGACACGUCGAAAGUGUAGUCCUAAAACUAUUAUUUUCGACACCACUGGAAAUCGAACUGUUAUAGUAUGAUUCUACCUCUUAGGGGGAGACGUAUUCUAGUUUCCUUUGACUUGUUUAGAUGAUGUGUUAAUCAUUUGCUACUGGUUUUGUCAAAAUGCCAAAUGGUGAGAUUGUUUCAAACUUUGUUCAUGUUCGAACAUUAGAUUAAACAAUGCUUAAUUUGAUGCAUUCAAAGAAUUUAUGUUGGCAUGUUUGACUUUAUAAUGAAAUGGCUUAUGAUUUAAUCUCGUUGAGUAGCAAAUGGGGAAGUGAUUUUGUGUUAUAACAUGUGAUGAUCAUUAUCUUUCAAUCAACUACCUUGAAGAAGAAUGGGAGGAGUUUGAACUUUUGUGGACUUUCGUAAUAUUUGAAGCUGCUAAGAUACUUGUUUAUAAAGACUUUUAUGAUAUAACUAAUCAAAAUAAUUCAUGUCAGAAUUUUUGGAGUUUUAAACUUAUGAAGACUCUAGUAUUGGCCUAUAAAUAGGCAUAAUUACCGCACAUUGAAAAUAGGCUUUUGGAGGGUUUAAGUUGGAUGCUUUGGUGAAUUUUUCCUGUGUUUUAUACAACACUCUUUUUUAAGUUUUUAUUGGGGGAUAUUUGCUUGAUUGUAAGUGAGAUAUUUUGGAGAGAGUGAUUUGUAAUAAUUUAGGUUCAAUAUUGAAGUUGCAAAUAACUACAAGGUAAUGGUAAUUUGGACUCUAGUCAAUAGUUAAUCAAGACGAAUUGUAAAUAAAAAUUAUUUUUUAAGUGAAACUUUACAGAAUAAAACUAGUGAACUCAAACUACGCUAACAAAUAUUAUAUACUAUCUUUCCUUACUUUACUCGUUGCUUUACCUUAUUUUAAAAUUGCUUUGUCAUAAAUGUAUUAUGUUUGACCCUUUCCGAUCGAAAUAAAAAAAUGAGAUUGAAAUUGUGAUAAAGCUAAAAAAAAGUUACAACAAAUAUGAUUAAUAUUAUUUUUAUAUAUACUUACUAAAAUUUAAAAAGGAAUUACAUUUAUCGAAUAUUAUUUUAUUUAAUAAAUAUAAUUAAUAUAUUUUAUAUAAAAUUUAAACUUUUUAUUAUUUGUUAGCUAAAUUUUAUUAUUUUUAUUUUCUUUAUGAAUAAAAUUAAUUUUCCUAAAAUUUGAGAUAAAAAAAUGUUAUAUAGAAAAUUAAAUUAGUAAAAAGUGCAGUUCAUACUUUAUAAUUAUUAUAAAUGAAAAAAUAUUAUAAAAGAUAAAUAUUAAACAUAAAAAAAUCAAUUCUAAAAUAAACUUAACUAUUAUAAUAAAAUAUUUUUAUAUAAAAAAGAAAUUAUAGAAAAGACUUACUGAUUAUAUUUCCAAUUUUCGACAUUCAUAAAAAAAAAGUGGUCCUAAUAAUUUAUUUAUACAAAAAAAAAAGUGGUCCUAUUAAUUAACCUCACAUUUGAAAUGUGUUAUAUGUAAUAAUAUUAAUAUCUUUAUCAAUUUUGGAGGUUCAUCCUUUCCCAUCUCUAUAAAUUCGCAUGGAGAAAUAAAGCAAUACAUCAACACAAUCUGUAUAACCAUGAAAACCACAACAGCUUCAGUGUUUCUUCUUUUCAUCAUCUUCUCAGUCACACCAUCAUCCUUUUUGUUUGGUGUAGCCAACGCUACAAACGAACCUGUACUCGACUUUGAUGGCAACGAGGUUCAAACAGGCACCCCAUAUUACGUUGUGUCGUACAUAUGGGGUGCUGGUGGUGGGGGGCUUGACCUAGGCAGGCCUAGUGGAAACCCAUGCCCGGAAGUCGUUGCUCAAAGAGGAUCCGGUGACAAUGGUAUUCCGGUGAUAUUUUCUAAUUCGGACUCCAACGAUGGCGUUGUUCGCCUAUCCUCUGACAUAAACAUAGAGUUCAUUUCCCUCAGACCCAAACUUUGCCGAACAACAACAGUGUGGAAGGUCGAUGAUUACGACCAUUCAGCCGGAAAAUGGUGGGUGAUAACCGAUGGGGUUAAAGGGAACCCAGGUGCCAACACUUUGACCAGUUGGUUUAGAAUAGAGAAGGUGGGUACUGAUUUUCAAUAUUACACAUUUAAGUACUGCCCCGCAGUAUGUGGAACAUGCCCAGCCUUAUGCAACCAAAUUGUGAGAGACUUUGAUGGAGAAAUGGUACGUUUGGCUCUCACCACUGGCCAUGGAUGGCCAUUUAUCUUUAAGAAAGUUGGAAAAUCAGCCAUGGAGAUUGAACAAGUUGUUCAUAAUUAGAUUGAAAGCAAUCAUUAUGCAUGAACUAGUAGUUACUACAUAAUAUUAGCUUCAAGUAAAUAAUGCUGAGGGAACUUAUUGUUAAGAUUGCCUUGUUUGAAGCGGCAGCAUGUAUAUAUAUAUGCUUGCUUACAAGGUUUGUCUCUCAGAGUCCUCCUCUUUGUACUCUUUUCAGCUUAAUGAAUAAACUGUUUACUUAUUUACUUCUUUUGUUGCCAUUGAUUCUAGUAGCAUUCGACUCAUUAACUUGGAUACAUUACCUUGUAAUUAACCAAAAAGUUAUGUGUAUAUAUAUAAAGAGUGUGUGAGAGAAAAAAUAGAAUACCAAGUACCAAGUGAAAAAUGUUAAUACUAGGAUUAUUCAAAGCGAUUUCAAUGAACAGAAAUGGAAUAGUCGUCGGGUGGUUAGGGCAUUUUAUCUUUAGAGAUAAAGAAGGUUGGUUCAUGUUCGGAGUUUGUGGCUACUCCUUCAAUAAUAUCGUUUUUAAAGUUUAAACUUGUAUCACAUUUUAAACACGUAAUGUAUCUUACCAUUACAUCCAACAAUAUUAACCAUUUACUCUAUUGUAUUGUAUUGUAUUCUAUUAUUAAUUAAUGAUUAUGAUAUGUAUUAAGUUUAAGAUGAAUUUUCUCAGUAAUAUAUAUCAAUGGAAUCAAAUAUUUGUAUUUAAAGUUUUAACUCCACAUUAACUUUUUCUUUAUUUUGUCCGUUUGCUGGCGAUGAUUAGGAGAUUAAUGGUUGGUAUUUGUGGUUAGUAGGUUAUAACUCAAUAGUGAACUCGAGGGUUGAUAGUGGCCCGACUCCACUUAAAUAAAAAAUUUUACAUUUAAAUCUCUUUAUAAUUUAUAAAAUUUUAAAUUAAUAAUAAAAAAAUUAUAUUUUAACUCUCUAAAAUUAAUAAAAAUGAUAAAAAUGUAGAAGUAAAUUUAUACAAUUAAUGAUAAUAAUGAUAAGAAGUUGUUUCCUGUCACAUGGAAAUUUAUGGCAUCGUCCAUUUGGUUUUAUAUUUGUCCAUUUGCUUGGUUAAGAGUUGAAAGACAAACUAUAAUUAAGUAUACAAAACCAAACGAAUUUCAAGGGUUUUCUCUUCAAUUAUUGUCGAAUUUAGCUAAUUAUUAGUAAUUUUUAUUAUUUAAUUAUAAAAAUUAUAAAAUAAUGACUUAAUUAUAAGAAUUAUAAAAUAGUGACUUAAUUAUAAAAAUAUAUAUAAAUAGCCAUCUAAUUAUUUAAUUUUUUUUCUUUUUUAUCAUCACCGGAUUAAUGGUGGUAAUUUUUAUAAUUGACAUAAUAGUAACUUUAACCAUUAAUAAUUAUACAUUAUGUCAAUUUAGUCUUGAUUCUAAAAAAUUUAACCUUUGACAUUUACACAUAUAUAAUUUGACAUUUUUAUAAUUUUAUUUUUUACUAAAAAUAAAUCAUGAAAAUAAUAAAAUAUGCAUAAAAAUAAAAAUACAGCUACCGAGUAUAUGUCUUAAUGUAGAUUUAUAACAAUUAUCUUUUCAUAAAGAUAUUUUAUUAUAAAAUAUAUAAUAAGCACUUCCCUGUAACAAAUAAAAUUGUAGUAAACAAAUGAAAUUAUUAUAAAGAAGAAUUUUCUAUUUUCAUAAUAAUAAUAAUAAUAAUAAUAAUAAAAGAAAAGAAAAAAGUGGUUCUAUUAAUUCACCUCACAUUUGAAAUGUGUUAUAUGUAAUAAUAUUAAUGUCUUUAUCAAUUUUGGUGGUUCAUCCUUUCCCAUCUCUAUAAACACUACACCAGAAUAGGUUUUUAGCGGCGUUUUUUAGGCCUUUAGCGACGCUUAUUAACGCCACUAAAUCUAUUUCCGGCACUUACAAAAAAAAGCCGCUAAAGAUCAUGUUCUUUAGCGGCGCUUAGGAAAAAACGCCGCAAAAAAUCAUGUUCUUUAGCGGCGCUUAGAAAAAAACGCCGCUAAAGAUCAUGUUCUUUAACGGCGCUUAGAAAAAAACGCCGCUAAAGAUCAUGUUCUUUAGCGGCGCUUUGGAAGAAAACACCUCUAAAAGUAAUGUUCUAUAGCGGCGCUUGUUCAAAAACGCCGCUAAAAGUAGUGUUCUUUAGCGUCGCUUGUUUCACAAACGCCACUGUUUUGAUAUGACUUUUAGCGGCGCUUUUUUAAAAAAUGUCACUAAUUUUGGGAUUUUUUUAAAAUAAAAUUUUCUGUUUUUUUCAGCCCUCCUGCAACAACAAAUCAAAAGCAACCAGAUCUAAACUAACCAAAAAUAAUAAAUUUAUAUAAUAUUUCAAAUUAAAUGAAUAAAAUAAUAUUAAUUGAUAUAAAUAAAAGUGAAUUUCAGACUUUUCUUUACAAAAACGUUAAAAGUAUUUAUGCAACAUACACUAUGACGGCGGAAGUUGCGACUGCUGAAACAUCUUCAUCAUAAUCUAAAGCUGCUGUUGAAGUUCGUCGUACUUUUUGCUCUACUUUGCUUCUCUCGAUGCCGCAUCUUUUUGAAGCCGUAGCUGUAGUUCUUCACAUUUCUUUUGAACCUCUGCUUCUAUCGCUGCUUAUCUCGCUACGGCAUCUGCUUCCCUCACUGCUGCCUCUGAUUUAAGUUGUUGCUGAAGUUCUUCAUAUUUCCUUUGAACCUCAAAUGUGGUCGCUUGCAUCUGAGUCAUCUAGUCUUUUAACCUCUGAACUUCAGCUUGAGACUGACUCCCCGAAGCCAUGUAUUGGUGCGAGCUGGAUCCAAAAUAUUGGGUUGGGCUGAUAAAAGAUCCUUGAAAUCGAACCCGACCAUACUUUUCAGGACCCAAAACUUUAGUAAUAAUCCGGUUAUCAAUGUCUUCAAGAUGAAUAGAACUAUCACUAGAAGCAAUCGUUUCGUACUCUGUCUUUUUUUCCUUCAGUUUUUCCUAAUAAAUAAAUCACAUAGUUAGGAACGCAAUAUAUAGUAAAAAAAACAAAUGCAAUAUAACAAUAGUCGCAUUACAAGCAAUGAAUUAAACCAUUAGAAAAUAAACACUAUAAAUAACUAAAACAAGUGAAAUCGUAUUAAGUAAACGUACCAUAAUUUCACCAGCUUCAGGAGUCAUAGCAGAUCCAUCUUUCUUCUUAUGUGUAAUUUCAAAAAGUUGAAGGCGUCCAACUUUUUGAUCGGACGACCGUUCCUACAACACUCUUUUUUAAGUUUUUAUUGGGGGAUAUUUGCUUGAUGUAAGUGAGAUAUUUUGGAGAGAGUGAUUUGUAAUAAUUUAGGUUCAAUAUUGAAGUUGCAAAUAACUAUAAGGUAAUGGUAAUUUAGACUUUAGUCAAUAGUUAAUCAAGACGAAUUGUAAAUAAAAAUUAUUUUUUAAGCGAAACUCUACAGAAUAAAACUAGUGAACUCAAACUACUGAACUCAAACUACGCUAACAAAUAUUACAUAUUAUCUUUCCUUACUUUACUUGUUGCUUUACCUUAUUUUAAAAUUGUUUUGUCAUAAAUGUAUUAUGUUUGAACCUUUCCGAUCGAAAUAAAAAAAAUGAGAUUGAAAUUGUGAUAAAGCUAAAAAAAGGUUACAACAAAUAUGAUUAAUAUUAUUUUUAUAUAUACUUAAUAAAAGUUAAAAAGGGAAUUACAUUUAUUGAAUAUUAUUUUAUUUAAUAAAAUAUAAUUACUAUAUUUUAUAUAAAAUUUAAAUAUUUUAUUGUUUGUUAGUUAAAUUUUAUUUUUUUUUAUUUUCUUUAUGAAUAAAAUUAAUUUUCCUAAAAUUUGAGAUAAAAAAUGUUAUAUAGAAAAUUAAAUUAGUAAAAAGUUAAAAAAAUCAAUUCUAAAAUAAACUUAACUAUUAUAAUAAAAUAUUUUUAUAUAAAAAAAAAGAAAUUAUAGAAAAGACUUAUUGAAUAUAUUUCCUAUUUUCGACAUUCAUAAAAAAAAAAAAGUGGUCCUAAUAAUUUUUUUAUACAAAACAAAAAAAAGUGGUCCUAUUAAUUUACCUCACAUUUGAAAUGUGUUAUAUGUAAUAAUAUUAAUAUCUUUAUCAAUUUUGGAGGUUCAUCCUUUCCCAUCUCUAUAAAUUUGCAUGCAGAACUAAAGCAACACAUAUCAACACAAUCUGUAUAACCAUGAAAACCACAACAGCUUCGGUGUUUCUUCUUUUCAUCAUCUUCUCAAUCACACCAUUGUCCUUUUCGUUUGGUGUGGCCAACACUUCAAACGCUCCUGUGCUCGACAGUGAUGGCAACGAGCUCCGCACAGGCACCCCAUACUUCGUUGUGUCGUCGAUAUGGGGUGCUGGUGGUGGGGGGCUUGCCCUAGGCAUGCCUAGAGGAAAGCCAUGCCCGGAAGUCGUUGCUCAAAGAGGAUCUGGUGACGAUGGUAUUCCGGUGAUAUUUUCUAAUUCGGACUCCAACGAUGGCGUUGUUCGCCUAUCCUCUGACAUAAACAUAGAGUUCAUUCCCCUCAGACCCAGAUUUUGCCAAACAACAACGGUGUGGAAGGUCGAUGAUUACGACCACUCAGCCGGAAAAUGGUGGGUGAUAACCGAUGGGGUUAAAGGGAACCCAGGUGCCAACACUUUGACCAGUUGGUUUAGAAUAGAGAAGGCGAGUCAUCUUGAUUACACAUUUAAGUACUGCCCCGCAGUAUGUGGAACAUGCCCGGCUUUAUGCAACAAAAUUGCGAGAGACUUAGAUGGAGAAAUGAUGCGUUUGGCUCUCUCCACUGACCAUGGAUGGCCAUUUUUCUUUAAGAAACUUCAAACAUCAGCCAUGGAGAUUGAACAAGUUGUUCAUAAUUAGAUUGAAAGCAAUCAUUAUGCAUGAACUAGUAGUUACUAUACAAUAUUAGCUUCAAGUAAAUAAUGCUGAGAGAACUGAUUGUUAAGAUUGCCUUGUUUGAAGCAGAAGCAUGCAUAUAUAUAUGCUUGCCUACAAGGUUUGUCUCUCAGAAUCCUCUUUGUACUCUUUUCAGCUUAAUAUAUAAACUGUCUACUUAUUUACUUCUUUUAUUAAUGUCAUUGAUUCUAGUAGUAUUAGACUCAUUAACUUGGAUACAUUGUCUUGUAAUUAACCCAAAAAUUAUAUAUAUAUCAAAAAAAAAAAUGAGAGUGAGAGAGGAAAAUAGACUACCAAGUAACAAGUGAAAAAUGGUAAUACUAGGGUUAUUUAGAGUGGUUUCAAUGCACAACCGGAAUGAAUUGUUACCUUAUCUUUAGAGUCAAAGAAGGGUUCGUGACUAGUCUUUCAACAAUACUAUUUUCAAGGUUCAAACCUGCAUUAUCCUUUAAAUACGUAAUGUAUUUUAUCAUUACGCUCAAUAUUAUUAGUGAUUUACUUUAUUCUAUUCUUAAUUAAUAAUUAUGAUAUAUAUAAAGUUUAAGAUGGAUUUUCUUAUUUAUGUAUAUCAAUUAAAUCAAAUAUUUGUAUUUAAAGUUUUAACCCAACAUUAACUUUUUUUUUAAAAAUUUCUUCGUUUGUUGGUGGUGAUUAGGAGAUUGAUGGCCGGUCUUUGUGAUUGGUAGCUUUUAACACAAUGGCGAAGCUAAGGAGGCUUUAAAUGUUUAAAUGAAUAUUUUUUUCAAUUGAAAUUUCUUUAUAAUUUAUAAAAUUUUAAAUUAAUAAUGAUAAAAUUACAUUUUAAUUUUUUAAAAAUGAUAAAAACGUGGAAGCACAUUUGUACGAUUAAUAAUAAUGAUAAUAUUUUUCCUACCACAUGGAAGUUUAUGGAAACACCAUUGGGUUUUGUAUUUAUGUUUUAUUCGACACUCUUAUAAGUUUUACUGGGGAGAUUUGUUUGAUUGUAAGUGAGGUAUUUUGCGGAGAGUGAUUUAUAAUAAUUUAAAAUUAAUAUUGGGGUUACAAAUAACUAUGGGAGUAAAGUAGUUUAGACUUUAGCUAAUAAUUGAUCAAGAUGGAUUGUAGAAUAAAAUCAUUUUCGAAGCAAAAUUUUAUAAAAUUAGUAAAUCUGAAUUAUUCUAUAAUAUUGAUAUUAUCUUUCUUCACUUUAGCCCUUGCUUCACCUUAUCUCAAAAUUAUUCUAUAAUAAUCUAUUUUGUCUCAACCUUUUCAACAGAAUUUAAAAUGAAACUAUUUCUAUGAAGUGCAAACCAAAAACUUUUUCACAUACCAAUAAAUGGCAAGCAACCAUACCGUGGGCCCAAUGUCCCAACAAUCAUCUAAACAUUUUUUUUUUCUUUUUUAAAUAAUAUGUAAUAAUUUAUAUACCAUAAAUGAAUAUUAAUUAAAAUAAUAUAAACAAAAUACGACUCUUUAAUAUAAUAUGGAUCCAAAAUGUUUCAUAUUUGAAAUGCAGUUUUUGAUAAUUUCACAUUUCAUAUUUUAUCUUAGAACAAAAAGAAAAUUUGAACUUAAUAUUUGGACUAUUGAUCAAUGGUGUUUAUUAUAUUUCAAGACUAUCAGAUUAAUCUGUCGAUACUACUUAUAUGGUAUGGUUUAAAUGGGUGUGUGUGGAUAUAGAAAUUUGAAAUUCUAUUGUAUCAAAGAAAUUUUUUUUAAAAAUAAAAUAAAAAGGAAUUUGAAAUUUAAAAUUUGAGAUCAAAAUAAAAAAAAUGAGACUUGUUAUAAACCAUAAGGCUCAAAAAAGGUUACAACAAAUAUGGUUAAUAUUAUUUUUAUAUAUACUUAAUAAAAGUUUAAAAUAUCAAAUUUGUAAUAUUAUUUUUAUUUAAUAAAAUAUAAUUAAUAUAUUUUAUAUAAAAUUUAAAUAUUUUAUUGAAAUAUUAUGUUAGGUAAAUUUUAUUAAUUUUAUUUUCUUUAUAAAUAAAAUUAAUUUUAUUAAAAUUUGAGAUAAGAUAAUUAAAUUAAUAAAAGGUAUACUUCAUAUUUUAUAGUUAUUAUAAAUAAAAAAUUAUUAUAAAAAUUAAAAAAAAAGAAUUCUACAACAUAAUGAAAUAUUUUUAUUAAAAAAAACAGAAAUGAUUGAUGGAAUAUAUUUCCAAUUUUCGACGUUCAUUAAAAAAAAAAGAGUGGUCCUAAUAAUUGAUUUAUUGGGGAAAAAAAAGUGGUCCUACUAAUUUACCUCACAUUUGAAAUGUGUUAUAUGUAAUAAUAUUAAUAUCUUUAUCAAUUUUGGAGGUUCAUCCUUUCCCAUCUCUAUAAAUUCGCAUCGAGAAAUAAAGCAAUACAUCAACGCAAUCUGUAUAACCAUGAAAACCACAACAGCUUCAGUGUUUCUUCUUUUCAUCAUCUUCUCAGUCACACCAUCAUCUUUUUUGUUUGGUGUAGCCAACGCUACAAACGAACCUGUACUCGACAUUGAUGGCAACGAGGUUCAAACAGGCACCCCAUAUUACGUUGUGUCGUCCAUAUGGGGUGCUGGUGGUGGGGGGCUUGCCCUAGGCAGGCCUAGCGGAAACCCAUGCCCGGAAGUCGUUGCUCAAAGACGAUCCGGUGACGAUGGUAUUCCGGUGAUAUUUUCUAAUUCGGACUCCAACGAUGGCGUUGUUCGCCUAUCCUCUGACAUAAACAUAGAGUUCAUUCCCCUCAGACCCAAACUUUGCCGAACAACAACGGUGUGGAAGGUCGAUGAUUACGACCAUUCAGCCGGAAAAUGGUGGGUGAUAACGGAUGGGGUUAAAGGGAACCCGGGUGCCAACACUUUGACCAGUUGGUUUAGGAUAGAGAAGGCGGGUGAUCUUGAUUACACAUUUAAGUACUGCCCUGCAGUAUGUGGAACAUGCCCAGCUUUAUGCAACAAAAUUACGAGAGACUCAGAUGGAGAAAUGGUACGUUUGGCUCUCUCCACUGGCAAUGGAUGGCCAUUUUACUUUAAGAAAGUUGGAAAAUCAGCCAUGGAGAUUCAACAAGUUGCUCGUAAUUAGAUUGAAAGCAAUCAUUAUGCAUGAACUAGUAGUUACUACAUAAUAUUAGCUUCAAGUAAAUAAUGCUGAGAGAACUUAUUGUUAAGAUUGCCUUGUUUGAAGCGGCAGCAUGUAUAUAUAUAUAUGCUUGCUUACAAGGUUAAUUUGUCUCUCAGAGUCCUCUUUGUACUCUUUUCAGCUUAAUGAAUAAACUGUUUACUUAUUUACUUCUUUUGUUGCCAUUGAUUCUAGUAGCAUUCGACUCAUUAACUUGGAUACAUUACCUUGUAAUUAACCAAAAAGUUAUGUAUAUAUAUAUAUAUAUCAAAACAAAACAAAAAAGAGAGUGAGAGAGGAAAAUAGACUACCAAGUACCAAGUGAAAAAUGGUAAUACUAAAUUUCCAGAUAUAUGGCAUUGUUUGUGUGUGACAAACACCAAGUAUAAAUAGGUGGAAGUAUGACUACUUAUCAAGAGUGGUAUGGUUCAAAAACUACCCCUAUCGAAUUAUUUCAUCCUACUCAUUCGUUAUCGAUAGGAAGAAGGAUACUUCCAACAAGAAAUAUUUUGAAGGGUUAGUGUUGAGUUAGCUAAAAAUCAAAGUUUAUCAGAAGCUCGAUCUAAAAUUCGCCAAAAGGAGGAUUAUUCAAAGCGAUUUCAAUAGACAACGGGAAUGGAAUAGUCUUUGAGUGGUUAGGGCACCUUAUCUUUUGAGAUAAAGAAGGGUUGGUCCAUGUUUGCAGUUCGUGACUAAUCCUUACAACAAUGUCGUUUUCAAGGAUUGAACAUGUGUCAUCCUUUGAACAUGUAAUGUGUCUUACAAUUACACCUAACAUUGUUGGUGAUUUACUUUAUUAUAUUCUUAAUUAAUAAUUAUGAUAUAUAGUAUGUUUAAGAUGCAUUUUCUUAUUCAUGUAUAUCAAUUGAAUCAAAUAUUUGUAUUUAAAAUUUUAACUCGACAUAUCGAAGGUCUGCUACUCUAGCACGUCUUUGGUCUGCUGCUCUAGCAUGUUUUGGUUUUUUUAGGGUUUUUUUGGCUUAUUUCUCUUUGUUCUAGCGAUGACAGUUCUUGGGAUAGAGUAUUUCUUUUCAAUCUGGUUGAUUUUGAUUCGUGGCAAUGGAGGAUGAAUUGGCAGAGUUAACAUUGGAAGAUGAGGAAUAGGAGAUUUUGCAAGUACAGAAGGAAACUGAUUCUGCGACAGUGGUUUAAGAUCUUUGUCUGGUUGGAUACUUUCUCACAACGAGUGUAAUCCACUUUAUGACAAUGAGAAGCGCGAUGGCAAAUCUAUGGCAUCCUCUUAGAGGAGUUCAGAUCUCUAAUUUGGGGGAUAAGAAAUUAUUUCAAUUUUUUCAUAAAAUGGAUAUUGAUAGGGUACUAAAUGGGGAUCCAUGGACUUUCAAUAAUCAUCUUUUGGUGAUUCAUUUUUUGGAGGAUGGUGAGGAUCCGAUGAAGGUACCGCUAAUCUAUACGACUUUUAAGGUGCAAGUGCAUGAUUUACCCCCAGGGUUUUUUACUGAAUCUAUAGCAAAGAAGUUAGGCAAUUUUAAGGGUAAGUUUUUUGGAUCAAUGGAAAAAGCUUGGGUAAGGGCCUCAGGAAUUUCUUACAUAUACGGGUUUAGAUGGAUGUUAGAUGCUAUUUGAAGCGAAAAAAGAAGAUUAUGUUUUCACUUGGCAAGUGUUCCUAUGUCAACUUGAUAUACGAAUGACUAACUCUAUUCUAUUUUGUCUAUGGUUGUUUGGUAGACAAUGACUCUUUCUGUCAAGUUAGAAUGGCUAAAGGCUUAGAAGUUGUAGAGAUGGGAUGGUAUCUGUCUCUAAAAGCCCAGUCUAGGAGAGCUACUACGAUGAACAGCGUGUGGCUGCGGGAGGAAGGUAAAGGUGAGAUAAAGGGAAAUACCAUAGGACAUUUUGAUUUAGGGUAGGGAUUGUGGAAGGAUGGAAGGAAAGAAUCUAGGAUGCCCAUAGAUCUGUGUUGGGGUUAAAUUUGGAGGGUGGUUUGAAGUUAGUGUCGGGUAUGCAAGGGAACUCUUCAACGAUACAAGAUCAUUCGAAUAUGGAUCACGACUCAGAGGAAUGCGCUAUAAAAGGUAAAGAUGGGAAAAAAAGACCCAAAAAGGAUAAUGGAAAUCAUAGUGUUUCGAUUGUGACAGAUUCACUUGUGAUUAGAGAUGAGAGAUUGUUGGGACGAACUCACUUUUUAUCGGCAGCUGCCAAGGGGCAAGAUGAUCAGUCACAAUAAAAAUAAUUAGUUGGAACAUCCGUUGAUUGGGGUGUCCACAGGCUAUAAGAAGGCUUUGACAUAUGUUGAAGGUGUAUAAUCCCCAAGUGGUCUUCUUUAUGGAGACAAAAAUUAGUAAUGUGCAAAUAGAGAAUGUGCAUAGAAGGUGUGGAUUUUUAAAUGGUAUUGAUGUUUCGGCCGAUGGUUCAAGAGGAGGUCAUUUUCUAGCUUGGAAGGAAAAUGUUAAAACGAAUCUAAUGAGUUAUUCUAGUAGUCAUGUAGAUGUUGUAUUUUAGAAGAUUGAUAAUGGAGGUUUGCUGGCUUUUAUGGGACAUCAAAUGCGUGUAGCAGAGACGAUUCAUGGAAUUUGUUAAGAAAUCUAGGACGCUCUCAAGCGUUCCCUUGGCUAGUGUGUGACAAUUUUAAUGAAAUUAUAUACUCUUUUGAAAAGGUUGGGGUGCCAAGAGAGGAGAAGAGAAUAGAGGUCUUUUGAGGAGUCUUAUAGGAAUGUUAGUUAAUGGACAUUGGAUACUUUAGGGCUAGGUUUACCUGGGAAAGGGGAAACUUACCGAAAACGAAUAUGAGAGAGCGACUGGAUAGAGGAGUGGCGAAUGCCGAAUGGAUGAACAUGUUUUCUAGUGCAGUGGUUUAGCAUUUACCACAUUCUUUUCCAGAUCAUUGUCCCCUUUUUAAUCAUACGGAGCAGGAGAGUAAUAGGUUGAGGCAGAAAAGGUUUCAGUCCGAGGCAUGGUGGGUGAUGUAAGAAUCUUUUGAGGAGGAGGUUAAACAAAUAUGUCAAUCUACUUCGGGUGAUAUGUUGGCUAAGCUAGAAGGUGUGAGGAAGGGCUUAGUGAGAUGGGCGGGUUUUGUUAGAAAUAAAAGAGAGGGCCUUAAAAGGAAUUUGACUAGAAAAUUGGAGGAGAUGAUGGGAAAGGAUAGAGAUGAUGAGAAUAUUGUUGAACUAUCUUAAAAUUCUCUUGUCAUAACUUGAAGUUUGUGUCAUUUAAUAUAAGAAUACAAUUAAUGCCUGCAAUAAUGUUGGCAGGUAUAAUUAUUGUUGUAUCAAACAAAACAAUCUCAUGUAUGACUUCAAAUAUAAAACAAAAUAAUAAUUAAUUCGAAUAAAGGUAAACCCUAAGAUACCAAUCACUCCAUUAAUAUUUCAUUUUUGAACAAAUAUAUUAAGUUGUAAAUGAUAUCUUGGUGUAGUAAUUAAACACCGACAAUAAGCGUCACAUGUUUAUUACAACAGUUGCAAAUGUAAUUUUGUUAAAUAUUAGCCUCCAUUUAGGCCAGUCAAUAUUAACAUAACUUAAGUUACAUACACACAACCCCAAAAUUAUAAAAGUCCUAUUGUUAAAUUGAUUUGGUUCCUUUGACAUAGGAAAGCCGAAUUGCAUAAACAAUCAAUGUAUCCCCUAUUUUAUUCAUGUUUAUCACAAUGUUUGAAGGAGUGCUCACUCUUUUAGGGCGUGUUUACCAUUGAGGUUGAAAAGUAUCAUUAAACCCAAACAAUUAUUUCAAACCAAACAUUAAUUUUAAACUAGGAUUUUAGGCCAACCCAAAACUUCUAGCUUUUACUUUUUGGAAAGGUGCUUUUCAAUUAAAAACCUUUUUAUUCCUCGUUAAACUUUCUACUUUAUAACAUAAUGUCUAAAAUGGAAAUUUUAUUUUUCUAAAAACACUUAUAGACAACAAUAAUAAUUACUAUUAAUUUUUUCAAAAUCACUUUUCUACGGCACUGUUAAACUUAAAUGAUAAUCUAGCCUUUUAACCACUCUUUUCUAACAGAGAGCUUAUCUCUUAGCAAUAGUUUGGGCAAACAAAAAUAAUGUAUAUAUGAAAACGAAUAUUGAAUUUGAAUGUACAAUCAAUUUUCUGAAUAAUUAAUUAAAAAGAAUGUUUGAAUUCAAAAAUUUUAAAAAUUUUGAUAAAAAAUGUGGAAGCGCAGACUUGUGUGAUGAAUAGUAAUGAUAAUAAUGAUAGAAGCUGUUUCCUGGCACGAGGAACUUAUGGAAUUCGUCCAUUUGGUUCUAUAUUAGCCCUGUUGCUUCCGUGUUUAAGAGUAAAACGACAAAAUAUUAAGUAGAAAACACCAAACGAAUUGAACUAUUUUCUUAAGAUGGUGUCGGUAAUGUAUCUGUGGAUACCCAUUUGAAUUUUUAAAAAACUGAAAAAAUUAAUUUAUUUUUUAGAUUGAAUCAGCAGCAGGAAAAUAAGAAAAAAUACAACUUUGAGUUUGAGUUUGGAACUCUGAGAUUUCGCUCGGUGAUCUGAAUGGUGAGGUGGUAUGUUUAAAUACGGAGAAUAAUAUAUAUUCGACUAGCAACAAUCUGAUGGAGUGAAAUAGGAACUGAAAAAAAGGGUAAUUUAAAGUUUUGGUCAUUGUUUUAAAAGAUUACCUUCAGUCAUUAUAUUUUUCAGUUUUGGAAUUCCAGUACUACUUAAAUUGUAAUUGUUAAAUCUAUUUACUAUAAUGAUAUAAAAUUUUUAUGAAUAUUAACACUAUUAUUUUUUUUAAAGCACUUAUUCAUGGCACAAGGAACUUAUGAUGAAUAGUAAUGAUAAUAAUGAUAGAAGUUGUUUUUCUGGCACAAGGAACUUAUGAUGAAUAGUAAUGAUAAUAAUGAUAGAAGUUGUUUUCCUGGCACAAGCAACUUAUGGGAUUCGUCCAUUUGGUUCUAUAUUUCUCCGCUUGCUUGAGCGUUUAAGAGUUAAAGGACAAAUUAUUAAGUAGAAAACACCAAACGAAUUGGAAGGCUUUUGUCUUCUUCAAUUGGUAUGACCUAUAUUUCUUAUUAAACUUCGUAUUUUACAUUCAAUAUCAUCAUCACAAUCAUUUUAAUUUAUUUUCAUGAAUAAACUUUUAUGUCUCAUUUUAAUUGAAUCAUUAAAAUUUAUUAAUUGAAUUUUUUUUUAAGAUGGUACCGUUAAUGUGUCAAGUGAUAUCAAUUUAAAUUUUUAAAAAAAGUUGUUUGAAUUAAUUUGAUUUCAUUCGGUAAUCCAAACAGUGAGAUAGUGUGUUUAACUACGGGGAAUAACAUAUAUCCAAAUGGUGACAAUCUGGUGGAGCGAAACAGAUAUCGAAGAAAGAGUAGUUUAAUGAAUUUGGAGUCGACUUCUGGAAAAUCUGAAUUAUAGAAGUGAACGAAGAGGAAAUCUCUUCUUUGGUGCCGUAAUCGACAUAAACGGCCAUUAUGAAUGGCAACAUCGAUAAUUAUUGAGUACAAUGAUUAAAAUUUUCAGUUAAAAAAAAGGAAUGGAAAGGAAAACAAAAAGAAAAACGUGGAAAGAAAGAAAGAAUAAUAAUAAUUAAUUAAUAAAUAAAAAGAGAAUUGUGGGGGCGAUGCUUUUGAACAAAUCUUGAUUUAAACUAUGUAAAGAAAAUAUGCGUUAUAUAUAUAAUUAAUUAUGCACUUAUACUUAAUAUAUUAUAUAUUUAAUGUCAUAUUUUCAUAUUCUCGGGAAGUGGUAAUAUACAAGUACUUGAUUUGAUUUAUUUCUUGAUCGCUUCGUGAAUUUUAUGUUUGUAACAAUAGGGACAGAAUUUCUUCAAUUCCAAUCGACUGGGCGUAUUGUGUCAAUUUUUUUUGAGUAAUAUACCUAGAAAUACCCGUUGAUUCCUUAUAAACGCCGUUUCAAACACAACUGGUACACCCCAAAAUAACCGUUACUCAGACAUCUUUACUAUUGACCAUGAACCUCCUUUGAGUUUUUAAUUCACCUAACUUUUCUAUUUUUCAAUCAAAAGCGAAGAAGAAAGGAAUGAAAAAAAGAAAGAAAUCAAAGUUGCUAACUCAAAACAAAUCCUGACAAUUUUGGUUGCAAUCAAUAUAGCAAGUCAAUAUAAAUUUAUAGUAAUAGCAAAUAAUAAGAAUAAGUAAUACAACGAUUUCUAACUCUAUUUAGAAUCAAAUCAGAGUAUGGUAUUUUCUUUAAUCAAUUAAUUGAAUUCAAAAUAUUCAAUUAAAAUAAAUUAAAUUGUAUAAAUUUUAUAAUUUUAAAUUAUUAUUUUUGUAUUAAUUUAAAACAAAAUAAAUAUUAUAUACAAUAAUUUAGUUGCAGCAUGUCAGCUUGAAGUCCAAGACCUUAUAACAUAUAAAUUUAAUAGAUAAUUAAUAACUAAAAAAUUAAAUAGCAAAAGCAUAAUUGCGCCACUUCUCACCAUUUUAGUGUAUGCAACUUAUUAUAUAUUUAUAUAUAUUAUCAUUUCAUUUUAAAUAAUUUAAUUUUUAUAUUAAUUUUUAUAAAUUUAGGGAUAAAUCUUAAAAUUAUACAUAAACUUUAAUUUAAUGUGUAAUUGCAUACAUAAACUUUAAUUUGGUACAAUUAUACACAUGAUACUCUAAUUGUGGUUCAAAUACAUACUUGAAACUUUAAUUUUGAUUUAAUCAUACACAUUUAAAUAAAUAAAUACAUCAAUUUAUUUUUAUAUUGGGUAAAUAUAUUUAUGUAUGCAAUAUAUAACAUAAAAUGAUGUUAUAUCAAUAAUUGUGUUAAUAAUUUUCAAGAAUUGGAUCAAAUCAAAAUUUCAUGUAUAAAAUUGCACAAAAUCAAAGUUCAUGUAUACAAUUGCACAUUAAACCAUAAUUCAUGUACAGUUUUAGUAUUUAUCCCAUAAUUUAUUAAAUAAACUUUUUACCUAUAUCAUAUAUAGAGUUGUCUGUGAACCGAGCCAAGGAAUGCCCGCUCGAAAAAAUGAGGGUUUAAGAAAAAAAAUAUGCCCAAAAAAAGGGCUUGGAUAAAAAGACAAGGCCCGUUUAGAAAAUGAAUCGGGCCUUUGCUAAGGUUUUUUUUGUCCAAGCUCAGCCCGACCCAAAUUUUCAAUAAAAAAACCCUACUGUUUUUACCGCUAUUUUUUCAUAUUUUGGUGUUGUUUUCUCACUUUUUGCCACUGGUUUACUAUCAUUUCACUAUUAUGUUACUACUAUUUUUUUUGUUAAUGUUUGGAUAUUGUAUAACACUUGUUUUAUUGUUAAUUUUGUCACUAUUUUAGAGGCAUUUGUUUGUUAUGUUGUACUUAUCUUAGUUUUUAUUUAAGUAUAAAAAAUUUUUAAAUUCUAUUUUCAAUUUAUUGGAAACAUGUAAUUUAAUAUUUGUAGUAUAUUUGGUGUAUUAUAAUAAUAUUUAUUAUUAAAAUAUUAAUAUUGAAUAUUUUCAAUAAUAUGUGAAGAAUAUUAUUUAAAAUUAUUUUUUAAAAUUUAUUAUUAAAUUAAAAUUGAAAUAUUAAAUAAUUUAUUAAAAUAAUUAAUUAUAUUAAUAAUUAAUUAUAUGACUAAAUAUAAAUAAUUAAAUAUGUAUGUUUAAUAAUAUUGAAAAAUAUAAUAUUUUAUAUUAAUAUUUUAAAUAUUUUUAAAAAUAAAAAUAAAAGUUAUUUUUAAUAUAAUAAUAUUAAGCUUGAUUUAAAUUAAUUUUUAUAUAAAAAUAAAAUUACCUAUAGAUGAGCUCAUUUUUUAGAAAAUGACUUACACUUUUCAAAAUGAUAAGUCAUUUUAUAGGAAAAAGAGCUAAUUUUACGUUGACCUAUAAGUCAUUUUCCGUUGACCAAACUGUUUUCUGUAAAACAAACAUAGAAAAAUGCAGAAAAUAGUUUCCGUAAAACUUUUUACAUGUAAACAAAUGGACCCUUAAUUCAAGCUUAUUCCAACAUAACCCACUUCACUAUUAGCAUGACUCUCCCUUAUACUAAAUUUAACCAUUAACCCUUCUCAUGAUUUCUAACAAAAAUUUUCAAGUUCUCUUUAAUGGCAACUUGUAUUAACUUCAACAAUAAGAAAUUCUAACUAUGGGGUUGGUUGUAUCAAGUUUCAUAGUUUAAAAAUCUAUAAAAAAAUUAUUGAGAAAAUAAUUUGUUUACCUUUGAUGGCCUUGAUGGAGAACAACUUGGUUUCUUCUUCUACUUAGUUUAAAGAAUGCAUGAAGAAGAAGAAGAUUUCCCCUCUCCCACUAUUUUAAAUAUAUAUAUAAAUAACCUAUUAAUCAAGGUAAUUAAGUCACUAAUUAACCUUAAUUAGUUAUGAUCUAAUGGCCAUAAACUUAUCAUGAGAAAAUUAGUGGAAAUGUGCGGCAUUGAUAAUGGUUUGCCAAUAAUCAAACUUUGGGCAUGGUAAUAUUGCAAUCAGGUUUUUGGUAUAAUUACACUUUUAAGUACUUGCUAAAUUCUGUAAUCAAUUCCCACUAGUUGGGUCACUUGAACAAUUGGGUCCAUGUACUAUAGUUACAACUUAUCCAAUUUAAUCAAUUAAUGAUUUGACUUUAUAAUUUCAUGUACAACACACAAACUCCUCUAGUAAAUUCUCGAGCUAGCUUUAUUUAAAAAUUUGGCCUCAAAAAUAGCUUUCCAAAUGUUCAUGAAAAUUGAGUCGUUACAUAUGGUAUUUGUUUUGUUCAGCUUAUUUGUCAGGCUCUAUAUCCUUUGAACUUAUGUUCGUUGACUUUGGUGUUGCUUAAAUGAAAAUGUGGUGAACAAUCUUAUGGAUAGGAGGAGUGUAUGAUUGAGUAUGUGUAACACCCUUAACCCACAUCCUUCGCCGAAUUAGAGUGACAGAGUGUUACUUGUAACACCCCAAACCCAGCCUAAACGUUAUGGUCGUAUCUGGCAAUGUCACACAAUAGUGUUUUUGAAACCUCGUUGUUACGUUGAAAACAUUUCAUGUUAUUAUCUUUAGUAAACAUUUGUUAGAACUUAGGAAGUCGUCUUUAUUCAUUUAAAACAUUUGUUUUGAAACAUCCCUCGUUGCGGAAGCUUUAAUAAAACAGUCUAAGUGAUCAUGCGUUUAGAAACUAUUUUAAUUUUUUGAAAACUGAAUUUCCUACGACCAACAGGUAUAAAUCCAUAAAGUAAAAUAAAUAAAUAAAAACCCAAAAUUUAAAACCAAAGUCCCAGAAGGUCCUUAAAUUACAACCCAAAUAAUCAAUAAUAAUUAAAUCAUAAAACGUAAAUUGAAAACCAUGAAGUCCAAAAAUUACUGUGGUCACCGCUGAGUCCUCCGUCGCACCGAUUCGUCUAAGUCUGGGGAUUACCUGUGCACGUUAAACAAAAAGGGUGAGUUUACGUAAAUUCAGUGUGUAGUCCCGCAGAAACAAAUAAACAAUCAGUAUUCACAGUGCACAGUUGAACAGUCUUGGGCCCAAGCCCAUCUCAGUACAAUGUCAAAAAUGCAGUAGCAGAAUCCUACCCAACCAACCUCCACACACUAUCUCCGCCCAACCCUACACUCCAUGUGGGGAUAUAAUCAACCCACCCAUCCCUACACUCCAAGUAGUACCGAAUGCGGCACAAAACAGUAGUUUGCAGCUGAGCUGCCAGUAAAUUAGGCUUAAAGCCUUUCAGUACACUUCCUCUGAAUAACAACCCCCAACCCGAUGCAAUGCAACAUACAAUAGAUGAUAUGCUAUUAUGCAAUUUCUGUACAUAUAUUUGGUUCAGAUAUUAACAUGCCCAGUAUAGAUAUCAUUCAGUCAAUUUCACACAUUUAGGGGUCUAAGUAGCGCUUACCGACCUUACAGUAGGUUCACAGUUGACUUGGGUGACCCGUACAACCUUAGAAACAUUCCGGUAAAAUUGGGCUACAUGCCCGUGUGUGCCCGUGUGGCCCACUCGGCCCAAUUUGGCCUUGGUCGUGUGAUCCAUUUUUAAUGUAACCCAUGCUAGCUAAAUAUUCAUAUAUGUUUUCACUAUUUACUUAUAUGUUCAUUUAAAGUUGUCUACUUGAGUCAUUGUCACUAAAUUAUUUAUACCUUGAGCUACAGAAUUCCAAAUUAAGAUCCGCUUGAUGUUUUCAAAACUAUACUCAAAUACCUUUCUACCAUAAAAUUUUCAAAUUUUAUAGUUUACCAAAUAAGUACAGUAAAAUCUUCAAAUUUAUCCCAAUUCUGCUAUUUGAUAGCUUCAACGUUUCCUUACUAAAAAUUAUUUAUCUCUUAGUACGGAAUUCGGAUGAUGUUUCCUUUGUUUCUCUUGAAAAUAGACUCGUUAAGGAUUUAAACAUAUAAAUUUAAGCCCCUAAUUAUUUUUUAAAAUUUUCGAUGAUUUUUCCAAAAUCAGAACAAGGAACCAAAACCCAUUCUAACAUUGUCUCACAAAAUUCAUUAUAUCUCAUAACUUAAAAUUUCAUUGCUUACACAGUUUCCUUCAUGAAAAACUAGACUCAAUAAAAUUUAAUAUCAUAUUUUAUUCAACCUCUAACUCAAUUUCCCCUAUUUUUGAUGAUUUUUCAAAGUUAGACUACUACUGCUGUCCAAAACUAUUUUAAUGCAGAAUGUUGAUUUCCAAGUUUAAAACACCCUUAUUUCCUUUCUCUACAAUUUUUUGCAUCAUUUUCUCUUAUUUCUCGUAUUUCUCGAUAGCAAGCAAUUUCAGCUUUUCGUUGAAUCCCAUUUUCUGCAUUUUGGGUACACACCUGGUAUCGUUUCUGAUGCGUAAGCACUCUUAAGCCUCCAGAACCUAAAAAUCGACCAAUAAAUCUCCAAAUUAAUCACUUAAUUCAUUUUUAAUCAACCAAUUUUGGAAGGAACUCGACUAAAAAAACCUAACAAAACCCUUACCUUGCUUCAGUAACCACGACUUCGCACAAUCAUAGUGUCGAUUCAAAACCACCAACCCCUUGAUUAACUCAUAAACACCAAAAAAGAAACCCCUUUUCAGAGAUUAACCAAGAACGAUUAACAAUAGAAAAAACUGUUACUUACCGAACACACGCAACCAACGAUGAACAACCAAAUCAAUUGGAAAAUAAUGAAAGAAAAGGAAGAGAAAAAAAUAAUGGAAAUUUCGGCAGCAACUAGGGGAAAGAAUCGGUAGAGGAGAGAAAAAAGAAGAAAAAAUCAGAAAAAGUUUGGGUAAUUGGAGAGAAAACCAAAACUCUACUUUUUUUUCUACAACAAAAAGAUAAUCAGAUUAUUUUCUGAUAACCUCUCCCCCAUUAUCUCCUAAAAUCACUCCUUAUUAACCCACUAAAACACAACUACUCAGAAUUUUACCCCAACACAACUCUUAGCCAAAAUUGGAGCAAAAAUACUGUCUCUACGCCAUCAUAGAGAAUUGAACAUAAGACCUCCUUCACACCAACACUCCAUUUAUCCACCAGACCAGCAAGCCCAUUCUGUUAAUUAUUUGUCAUCUUUUACUUAAAAGCCUACUGACCAAAGAUAGGGCUUAUUCAUAAAAAUACCAAAAUUUUCCCAAAACCUGGCUUGAACUUGGGACCUCUCACACACCCAAAACACUUAACCACUAAAGCAGAUACACAAUUGUGUCACACCUUCGUAAGAACAAAAAUAAAAAUUUUGGGACGUUACGUUACUAUACAAAAUAGAACAUUUCAUGACAACACAUAAAUAAUUAUGCAAAUUAUCACAAUCAUUAAUUAACCAUAUUAAAAUAUAACAUAAAUAUCCAUACGACCUUUAAAUCGAGCUUAUAUGUCCCUAAAAAUAGCUUGAGAUCAAUCUAGGAUCAAUUUUGAACAAAAACAUAAAUUUUAAAAAAACCCUAAAAAUUUUGGAAAACAUGGGUCACACAGCCGUGUGUCCAGGCCAUGUGACAUAGCCCAGACCUUGUGGGCAUUCAAAAUCAGGUAACGCAGUCAUGUCCCAGCCCGUAUGUCUACUUGUGUGAAUAUUCGAAAUAGGGUCUCACGGUCGUGUCGAGGAUCGUAUGCUAAACCGUGUGUAUAUUCAAAUUAUGGACACACGGCCGUGUCGCAGGCCAUGUGCUAGACCUUGCUCAAAACUAUUUUGAGACACACAGCUGUGUCUUAGACUGUGUGAAAUUUUCACUUUAAACAACAACACACAGCCGUAUCCUAAGCCGUGUGCACCAAAAUGUACCUUAAAAAUCAAAUUUACCAAAACAUGUUUACUUAGGCAUCAAGCAACCUAAUUACCAUCAAUUAAACUCAUUCAAAACACGAUUAAACAUGUUCAAAAUAUCCAUCCUAAGUUCCUAACCAUUGUGCCCUCAUUGACACCAUAAUUCAAUAAUCAAAUCAAUCACAUUUAAACCAAGAUUUAAACAUUCAAAUUAUAAAAUCACCAUUAACCAUUCAUACCAAAACACUACUCAUUUCAAGUCAUAAACACCUAGCAAUAUUCACAUACUUUAUAAAGCUUAACUACCAAUACCAAAUAAGAUCCAUACACACAUACAUACCAAACAAAACACAUAUUCACAAGUAUCAUUCAAGGUUUACAACUUUACAUGUAAUUAACAUGAUUUCAAGUCACUUAUUACAUGUCAUAUAACCCAAAACAAACAUUAAACAAACUACCAAUAGUUUCUCGAAUAGUUGAUUCUUGAUCUUGAUCUAUAAUAUAAUUUAUUUCAAUUAUUAGCCUCAAUUUUCAUAUUCUAAUCAUUUCAAUACAUAUGAUCUCUUGUUUACAAAUUUACAUAAUUACCCUAAAUUUUUACACAUUAUUCAAUUUAAUCCCUAUGACCAAAUCAAGCUUAGUUCUACAAUUAAAUUCUCAAUCCAUAGAACUAAAUUUUAACCACAUCCAAAACAAUUCAUAUAUGCUAAAAUUUUCAAGAGUAACAUGUCUAUUUCAAUUAAAUCACUAAACAUCAAAAUUUGUAAAAAUCACUUUACAAACUCAAUACAUAUCAUCACCAAGCUUCAACCCAAACUAUUUAAUAUUACAAAUCUUCAAAAUUUUCAAUACAUAAUUUCUAUACUUUGAUAACUUCACAAAUAAACUCCAAAACUAGCUAAAUUCCAUUAUCAAUAGCUCAAAACUUAAAUUUUAUGAUAAAUAAACCAAGAAAAUACUUACAUGCAUUAAAAACUAUCAAAAACCAAGCUCCCAAGCCUUAGAACAAAGGUGUUUCGGCCAAACCUAAGAAAAAUAAAGAAGAUGACCACUACCCCACUUUUGUUUUACUUUCUUUUUAUUAUUAUUAUAAUGUUUAUUUAUGAAAUUAUAACAUUAUCAAACACCAAUUUGAUAUUGUUUUUCUCUCUUUACCGCCCAUAUUAACUAACUAUGGGCUAAUGGCAACAUAACCCCCCUUAGUUUACUAAUUUAAGCUGUUAUAUUAAAAUAAAUCAAUAAUAAGCAACUUUUCCACCUAUUACAAAUUAAUCCUUUUUCUUUAAUCAAUUCACUAUACGUUAAAUUUUCUAAACCAAAACUUAAUAUAACACUGAUGACUUUGUAAAUAUUAAAUAAUUAAUAAUUUUAGAUUGACACGUCGAAAUUGUGGUCCUAAAAUCAUUAUUUUCAACACCACUAGAAAUCGGACUGUUAUAGUAUGGUUCUACCUCUUAGGGGGAGAUGUAUUCUAGUUUCCUUUCACUUGUUUAGAUGAUGUGUUAAUCAUUUGCUAUUGGUUUUGUCAAAAUGCCAAAUGGUGAGAUUGUUUGAACUUUGACUUCUUUUCUUAUUUCACUUCAUGUUCGAAGAGUAGAUUAAACCAUGCUUUGAUGCAUUCAAAGAAUUUAUGUUGGUAUAUUUGAUUUUAUAAUGAAAUGGCUUAUAGUUUAAUCUCGUUGAGUAGCAAAUGGGGAAGUGAUUUUGUAUUAUAACAUGUGAUGAUCAUUAUCUUUCAAUCAACUACCUUGGAAAAGAACGAGAGGAGUUUGAACUUUUGGGGACUUUCGUAAUAUUUGAAGCUGCUGAGAUAUUUGUUUAUAAAGACUUUUAUUUAUCAUUAAUCAAAAUAAUUCAUGAGAUAAUUUCAACCUUUAUAUUGGAGUUCUAAACUUAUGAAGACUCUAUUAUUGGCCUAUAAAUAGGCAUAAUUACCGCACAUUGAAAAUAGGCUUUUGGAGGGUUUGGAUACUUUGGUGAAUUUUUCAUUGGGCUAUAAAUAGGCAUAAUUACCGCACAUUGAAAAUAGGCUUUUGGAGGGUUUAAGUUGGAUACUUCAGUAAAUUUUUCUUGUGUUUUAUACCACACUCUUUUUAAGUUUUAUUGGAGAUAUUUAUUUGAUUGUAAGUGAGGUAUUUUGGAGAGAAUGAUUUAUAAUAAUUUAGGUUCAAUAUUAAAGUUGCAAAUAAUUACGGGUAAAAGUAAUUUGGACUGUAGUCAAUAGUUGAUCAAGACGAAUUGUAAAUUAAAAUUAUUUUCUAAGUAAAAUUCUACAAAAUAAAACUGGUAAAUUCAAACUGCGUUAAUAAAUAUUACAUAUUAUCUUUCCUUACUUUACUCGUUGCUUUACCUUAUUUUAAAAUUGUUUUGUUAUAAUCUAUUAUGUUUGAACCUUUUCGAUCGAAAUAAAAAAAAUGAGAUUGAAAUUGUGAUAAAGCUAAAAAAAGGUUACAACAAAUAUGAUUAAUAUUAUUUUUUAUAUAUACUUAAUAAAAGUUAAAAAGGGAAUUCCAUUUAUUGAAUAUUAUUUUAUUUAAUAAAAUAUAUUUUAUAUAUUUUAUAUAAAAUUUAAACAUUUUAUUGUUUGUUAGUUAAAUUUUAUUAUUUUUAUUUUCUUUAUGAAUAAAAAUAAUUUUCCUAAAAUAUGAGAUAAAAAAUGUUAUAGAGAAUUAAAUUAAUAAAAAGUACAGUUCAUACUUUAUAAUUAUUAUAAAUGAAAAAAUAUUAUGAAAAAAUAUUAAACAUAAAAAAUUAAUUCUAAAAUAAACUUAACUAUAAUAAAAUAAUUUUAUAUAAAAAAAGAAAUUAUAGAAAAGACUUAUUGAAUAUAUUUCCAAUUUUCGACAUUCAUAAAACAAAAAAUAAAAAAAGUGGUUCUAAUAAUUUAUUUAUACAAAAAAAAAAAAGUGGUCCUGACGUUCAUCCUUUCCCAUCUCUAUAAAUUUGCAUGCAGAACUAAAGCAACACAUAUCAACACAAUCUGUAUAACCAUGAAAACCACAACAGCUUCGGUGUUUCUUCUUUUCAUCAUCUUCUCAAUCACACCAUCGUCCUUUUCGUUUGGUGUGGCCAACUCUACAAACGCUCCUGUGCUCGACAGUGAUGGCAACGAGCUCCGCACGGGCACCCCAUACUUCGUUGUGUCGUCGAUAUGGGGUGCUGGUGGUGGGGGGCUUGCCCUAGGCAUGCCUAGCGGAAACCCAUGCCCGGAAGUCGUUGCUCAAAGAGGAUCCGGUGACGAUGGUAUUCCGGUGAUAUUUUCUAAUUCGGACUCCAACGAUGGCGUUGUUCGCCUAUCCUCUGACAUAAACAUAGAGUUCAUUCCCCUCAGACCCAAACUUUGCCGAACAACAACGGUGUGGAAGGUCGAUGAUUACGACCACUCAGCCGGAAAAUGGUGGGUGAUAACCGAUGGGGUUAAAGGGAACCCGGGUGCCAACACUUUGACCAGUUGGUUUAGAAUAGAGAAGUUGGGUGAUCUUGAUUACACAUUUAAGUACUGCCCCGCAGUAUGUGGAACAUGCCCAGCUUUAUGCAACGAAAUUGUGAGAGACUCAGAUGGAGAAAUGAUACGUUUGGCUCUCUCCAAUGGCCAUGGAUGGCAAUUUUACUUUAAGAAAGUUGAAACAUCAGCCAUGGAGAUUCAACAAGUUCAUAAUUAGAUUGAAAGCAAUCAUUAUGCAUGAACUAGUAGUUACUAUACAUUAUUACCUUCAAGUAAAUAAUGCCGAGAGAACUGAUUGUUAAUUAAGAUUGCCUUGUUUGAAGCAGCAGCAUGAAUAUAUAUAUAUGCUUGCUUACAAGGUUUGUCUCUCAGAGUCCUUCUCUUUGUACUCUUUCCAGCUUAAUGUAUAAACUGUCUACUUAUUUACUUCUUUUAUCGCCAUUGAUUCUAGUAGUAUUAGACUCAUUAACUUGGAUACAUUGUCUUGUAAUUAACCCAAAAAUUAUAUAUAUAUAAAAAAAGAGUGAGAGAGGAAAAUAGACUACCAAGUAACAAGCGAAAAACGGUAAUACUAGGGUUAUUUAGAGUGGUUUCAAUGCACAACGGGAAUGAAUUGUCGUUGGUUGGGUGGUUAGGGCACCUUACUUAUCUUUAGAGCUAAAGAAGGUUUCGUAACUACUCUUUCAAUAAUAUUAUUUUUAAGGUUCGAACCUGCAUUAUCCUUUGAACACGUAAUAUGUUUUAUCAUUACGCUCAACAUUAUUAAUGAUUUACUUUAUUCUAUUCUUAAUUAAUAAUUAUGAUAUAUAUUAAGUUUAAGAUGAAUUUUCUUAUUCAUGUAUAUCAAUUAAAUCAAAUAUUUGUAUUUAAAGUUUUAACCCAACAUUAACUUCUUCUUUUUUUUAUUUCUUUCUUUGUUGGUGAUGAUUAGGAGAUUGAUGGCCGGUCUUUGUGGUUGGUAGCUUUUAACACAAUGGCAAAGCCAAGGAGGCUUUAAAUGUUUAAAUGGAUUUUUUUUUCAUUUAAACUUCUUUAUAAUUUAUAAAAUUUUAAAUUAAUAAUGAUAAAAUUACAUUUUAAUCUUUUAAAAAUAAUAAAAAUGUGGAAGCACAUUUGUACGAUUAAUAAUAAUGAUAAGAUUUUUCCCACCACAUGGAAAUUUAUGGAAACGUCAUUGGGUUUUGUAUUUAUGUUUUAUUUGACACUCUUUUAAGUUUUAUUGGGAAGAUUUGCUUGAUUGUAAGUGAGGUAUUUUGGAGAGAAUGAUUUGUAACAAUUUAGAUUCAAUAUUCGAGUUGCAAAUAAAUAUAGAGUAAAGUAAUUUGGGCUUAGUGAAUUAUAGAAUAAAAUCAUAUUCUAAACAAAAUUUUAUAAAAUAAAAUUAAUGAAUCCUAACUAAGUUAACAAAUAUUUCUUCACUCUAGGCAUUGCUUCACCUUAUCUCAAAAUUGUUCUGUAAUAAUCUAUUUUGUCUCGACCUUUCCAACAGAAUUUAAAAUGAAACUAUUUCUGAUAAGUGCAGGCCAAAAACUUUUUCGCGUACCAAUAAAUGGCAAGCGACCAUACUGUGGGCCCAAUGUCCCAACAAUCAUCUAAACAUUUUUUUUAAUAAUAUGUAAUAAUUUAUAUACCAUAUAUGAAUAUUAAUUAAAAUAAUAUAAUAUGGACCCAAAUUGUUUCAUAUUUGAAAUCCAAUUUUUGAUAAUUUCACAUUUCAUAUUUUAUCUUAGAACAAAAAAAAUAUAUUUGAACUUAAUAUUUGGCCUAUUAAUCAAUGGUGUUUACUAUAUUUUAAGACUAUCGAAUUAAUCUAUCGACACUACUUGUAUGGUAUAAUUUAAAUGGGUGUGUGUGGGUAUAUAAAUUUGAAAUUCUAUUGUAUCAAAGAAAAAUUUAGAAAAAAAUAAAAAAAAAAAAGAAUUUGCAAUUUAUAAUUUGAGAUAAAAAUAAAAAAAUGAGAUUUGUGAUAAACCAUAAAUUAAGCUCAAAAAAAGUUACAACAAAUAUGGUUAAUGUUAUUUAUAUAUAUACUUAAUAAAAGUAAAAAUAUCGAAAUUCCAAUAUUAUUUUUAUUUAAUAAAAUAUAAUUAAUAUAUUUUAUAUAAAAUUUAAAUAUUUUAUUGAAAUAUUAUGUUAGGUAAAUUUAUAAAUAAAAUUAAUUUUACUAAAAUUUGAGAUAAGAGAAUUAAAUUAAUAAAAGGCAUAUUUCAUAUUUUAUAGUUAUUAUUAAUAAAAAAUUAUUAUAAAAAUAAAAAAUCAAUUCUACAACAUAAUGAAAUAUUUUUAUUAAAAAAACCAGAAAUGAUUGAUGGAAUAUAUUUCCAAUUUUCGACGUUCAUAAAAAAAAAAAGAGUGGUCCUAAUAAUUUAUUUAUUGGGAAAAAAAAAGUGGUCCUAUUAAUUUACCUCACAUUUGAAAUGUGUUAUAUGUAAUAAUAAUAAUAUCUAUAUAAAUUUUGGACGUUGAUCCUUUCCCAUCUCUAUAAAUUCGCAUGGAGAACUAAAGCAACACAUAUCAACACAAUUUAUAUAACCAUGAAAACCACAACAGCUUCGGUGUUUCUUCUUUUCAUCAUCUUCUCAGUCGCACUAUCGUCCUUUUUGUUUGGUGUAGCCAACGCUACAAACGACCCUGUGCUCGACAUUGAUGGCAACGAGGUUCAAACUGGCACCCCAUACUACGUUGUGUCGUCGAUAUGGGGUGCUGGUGGUGGGGGGCUUGCCCUAGGUAGGCCUAGAGGAAAGCCAUGCCCGGAAGUCGUUACUCAAAGACGAUCCGGUGACGAUGGUAUUCCGGUGAUAUUUUCUAAUUCGGACUCCAACGAUGGCAUUGUUCGCCUAUCCUCUGACAUAAACAUAGAGUUCAUUCCCCUCAGACCCAAACUUUGCCGAACAACAACGGUGUGGAAGGUCGAUGAUUACGACCAUUCAGCCGGAAAAUGGUGGGUGAUAACCGAUGGAGUUAAAGGGAACCCGGGUGCCAAC